AGGGCACCACCAGGAGUGGAGCCUGCGGCUUAAUUUGACUCAACACGGGAAGACUUACCCGGCCCGGACACUGGAAGGAUUGACAGAUUGAGAGCUCUUUCUUGAUUCAGUGGGUGGUGGUGCAUGGCCGUUCUUAGUUGGUGGAGCGAUUUGUCUGGUUAAUUCCGAUAACGAACGAGACUCUAGCCUACUAAAUAGACUGUUCAGCUUUAUAGCCGGAAUCACCGGGCAUGUAGCUCUCACGGGUUGCAUGUUCGGCUCUGGUGACGUUGGCAGUGCUUCUUAGAGGGACAGGCGGCGGUUCAGCCGCACGAAACAGAGCAAUAACAGGUCUGUGAUGCCCUUAGAUGUCCGGGGCUGCACGCGCGCUACACUGAAGUGAUCAGCGUGCAAUUUACGUUUGGUGAUCUGUCAAGAUUGCCCAACCCGUUGAACCUUCUUCGUGAUUGGGAUAGGGGAUUGUAAUUAUUCCCCUUGAACGAGGAAUUCCCAGUAAGCGCAAGUCAUAAGCUUGCGUUG
rnacentral:rRNA from 1 species